GACGAACGCUGGCGGCGUGCCUAAUACAUGCAAGUCGAGCGAGCUUGCCUAGAUGAAUUUGGUGCUUGCACCAGAUGAAACUAGAUACAAGCGAGCGGCGGACGGGUGAGUAACACGUGGGUAACCUGCCCAAGAGACUGGGGUAACACCUGGAAACAGAUGCUAAUACCGGAUAACAACACUAGACGCAUGUCUAGAGUUUAAAAGAUGGUUCUGCUAUCACUCUUGGAUGGACCUGCGGUGCAUUAGCUAGUUGGUAAGGCAACGGCUUACCAAGGCAAUGAUGCAUAGCCGAGUUGAGAGACUGAUCGGCCACAUUGGGACUGAGACACGGCCCAAACUCCUACGGGAGGCAGCAGUAGGGAAUCUUCCACAAUGGACGCAAGUCUGAUGGAGCAACGCCGCGUGAGUGAAGAAGGGUUUCGGCUCGUAAAGCUCUGUUGGUAGUGAAGAAAGAUAGAGGUAGUAACUGGCCUUUAUUUGACGGUAAUUACUUAGAAAGUCACGGCUAACUACGUG
rnacentral:rRNA from 1 species